rnacentral:rRNA from 1 species
GGGCCCGCACAAGCGGUGGAGUAUGUGGUUUAAUUCGAUGCAACGCGAAGAACCUUACCAGGGUUUGACAUCCUGCGAAUCUCUUGGAAACAGGAGAGUGCCUUCGGGAACGCAGUGACAGGUGGUGCAUGGCUGUCGUCAGCUCGUGUCGUGAGAUGUUGGGUUAAGUCCCGCAACGAGCGCAACCCACGUCUUUAGUUGCCAGCAUUUAGUUGGGCACUCUAGAGAGACUGCCGGUGAUAAACCGGAGGAAGGUGUGGAUGACGUCAAGUCAUCAUGCCCCUUACAUCCUGGGCUACACACGUACUACAAUGGCAUCUACAGUGGGUUAAUCCCCAAAAGAUGUCU